rnacentral:lncRNA from 1 species
AUGCUCCUGAGAUGCUGUAGGAUGCUUUUUGCACACAGAUGUGGGGUGCUCGCAGGAUGCUCAUGGCACACAGUCCUGGGAUGCUCACAAUGCACAGCUGCAGGAUGCUCGAGGGGCUCUCACAUCGUGCUCACAACCUCUCCAGGGAUGCUCCCCGUGCUCACACCAGUACACCCACCGACUGCAGCCCCCGGUCCCCCAUGCGCCCUGAAGAGCCAGGUAAAGCGCUGGGGGGGGGAGGAGGAGGGGCACACCAAAAGGGCUGCGGCUGCUGCCCCAUGUGGCCCCUCUGCCGCAGCAGUGCCCGCACUGCCCUUUUUGUGGUGCUCCCCCAGCCCCAAGCAGAGGGGUCCGGGUGCAAUUUCCUCCCAGCAGGGAGCAGCCCUCCCCCUCUUCUCCCCCCCCACGGUGGUGCUAAAGCUGCGGUGCCGGCUCCAUAGCAGCCCUGCGCCCGCCACAGUAAACACACAGACACGUGGUUUCCCAGCACCUCCGGGAGCCCACGAUCUCUUCCAGGUCAGAAAUGGCCUCACCGGUGGCCACGGGGCUGGACUCCGUGCACCGCGUGGGUUGGUGCUGCCAGGGGGGCACUGUGCCAUAGAGGGGGCCCACAUCCCACAGAGAAGGGCAGCUCACACAGGUCUCACCAGGGCUGGAUGCGGCCCCGUCCCACUGGCUCUGGGAGAAGCGAUGCCGGCAGCCAGCAGCGGCCGCUCGGCACAUGGAUGGCACCGGUUCCCCCACGCAGACACCCAUGUGCUACCCCUGCACCACACUGGGGAUGCACACGGCCCCCCAGGCAGCCCCUCUCAGCUGAUCUUCCCCGGUGCCGCCCCAGCUCAGCCCCUUCACCUUCACACGUGGCCGCCACGCACUGCAUCCUGCCCUGAACCUCGAAGGGUCUGCGUGCACCCAAAGGGCUCCACAGCCCACGGCCACCCUGGGCUCAGAGAGCCCCAGGCACGGAUCCUGGCUCCUCCGCGGCACGGGGCCGGCAGUGCGGGCUGGGCUGCCAUCCCCCAUCUGCACACUCAUCCCGGGGCCGUACUCACCGGGCUCCGCUCGCCGCAGCCUGCAGGGCAGCACGGUGGUGGCUCCGGGCAGGCGCUGCCGGCACAGCCGGGUCCCGGCGCGGCCGUUUUGCAGGCUGCGUGCUACAGGAAGGAGCUGAGAGCAGCUAUUUCCUUCCAAAAUGUCAGCUGCCUGCGCAGCCGGGCAGCACUGUGCUCCGGCUGCUUCCUUCCACCACCUGAACAGCGCAACUGGGGGCACAGGGAUGGCAACCCCUGCCCUCAUCCCUCCCCGCAGCAGGAUGCAGCCUCGGCCUGUGGGGCUGAGCCCCCUCAGUCCUCACCCCCAGGGAGAAGCGCUGAGGAUGGACACGGGGGGGUUGGGCUCACCUGCACCCCGCGGCUCCGCUCGGCAUAG